GAAGAAGGCCAGCUUAUGAAGAACUGAGUGUCCAUUACAGCUCUUCGAGUAGACGCGGCCCUUCAACAUAUUUCUCUUUUAUUACAGAUGCCAGCUUCAGAAAUGAAAAUCGCUGUGUGAGAAAAACUGAGCUAGCUUCUAAUGCAAUUUUUAUUCAGAACCCUGCUCUGCAGCUGUCAGACCUUUCUACCUCCUGCAGCUACUGAAGAGUGGAUGCAUGCACACAAUGCUGCCUUCCUCCUGCUGGGGACACUGCACAUCUGAAAACAGCACAUUUUCAUGGUAGCACACCCAUUCAAGCAAGAACUGAUUUUGUGCAGAUGGGAUGAUGGUUAUGAUAGAAGCUGCUAAUAAUUUUGAACACUUACGAUUUCUUUACCUCUGGCUGUGAUCCCAGGAGGUAAUCAUAAUCAUUUUACUGAUAGGGAACUGAAGCUGAAGGGGAUUAUGUAACUUAUUGGAGUUUAUUCAACUAGUAGGUAGUACAGGUGAGACUCAAAUCCAGUUUCUGUUUGACUCUAGAGCUAAGAUGGUACAAAUAUUUGCAUCAUAAUUUCAUCUGGCAAUUCCUCAUAUCUGAAAACUUUAUACUUUCCUAAUUCUGCUUAUUAAAAAUAUAUAGAGAUAUGAAUGGCUUUGGCAAAAUCCAAAGGAGAACAAUAUAAAUUGGUGGAAAAACAAACAGAAACCUUUCCAAGAACGAAAUUCUAAUACCACAUAUAUUUAAUAACUGCUUUAAUGCAUAAAUAAGAAUGCUUUAUAAUUAGCACUACAUUUACUGAUAUAUAGACAAGUGUUGCUAAAAUGCUUGAAACUAUUUAGUCACAGAGUUUAAAAAUGCUUCCUGACUGUCUGCUUUCAUUAUUCGUUAGCAUUCUCUUUAUUAAUCACGCAUAGGUAGUUUUAAUCCAAAAUUUAUUUGAAUAAU
rnacentral:lncRNA from 10 species